rnacentral:ncRNA from 1 species
CCGGGAGGACGACCUCCCCUCGCACCGAUCACGGCAGGGACGGCCCCG